GCCCCGAUAGCUCAGUGGUAGAGCAUCUCACUCGUAAUGAGAAGGCCGUCAGUUCGAUCCUGACUCGGGGCUCCA
rnacentral:tRNA from 1 species